rnacentral:rRNA from 1 species
AGGGAAACCGAGUCUUAAYYGGGCGUUAAGUUGCAGGGUAUAGACCCGAAACCCGGUGAUCUAGCCAUGGGCAGGUUGAAGGUUGGGUAACACUAACUGGAGGACCGAACCGACUAAUGUUGAAAAAUUAGCGGAUGACCUGUGGCUGGGGGUGAAAGGCCAAUCAAACCGGGAGAUAGCUGGUUCUCCCCGAAAGCUAUUUAGGUAGCGCCUCGUGAAYUCAUCUYCGGGGGUAGAGCACUGUUUCGGCUAGGGGGYCAUCCCGRCUUACCAACCCGAUGCAAACURCGAAUACCGGAGAAUGUUAUCACGGGAGACACACGGCGGGUGCUAACGUCCGUCGUGAAGAGGGAAACAACCCAGACCGCCAGCUAAGGUCCCAAAGUCAUGGUUAAGUGGGAAACGAUGUGGGAAGGCCCAGACAGCCAGGAUGUUGGCUUAGAAGCAGCCAUCAUUUAAAGAAAGCGUAAUAGCUCACUGGUCGAGUCGGCCUGCGCGGAAGAUGUAACGGGGCUAAACCAUGCACCGAAGCUGCGGCAGCGAACGUAUCACCCAAGACAACUUUACGGAGUUGACGAUUGACGGAGCGAAGCGACGUCAAAGCGUUCAUUAAAGUCGAGUUGGCUUAGGGAUACGUUCGUUGGGUAGGGGAGCGUUCUGUAAGCCKKYGAAGGUGGCCUGUGAGGGUUGCUGGAGGUAUCAGAAGUGCGAAUGCUGACAUAAGUAACGAUAAAGCGGGUGAAAAGCCCGCUCGCCGGAAGACCAAGGGUUCCUGUCCAACGUUAAUCGGGGCAGGGUGAGUCGACCCCUAAGGCGAGGCCGAAAGGCGUAGUCGAUGGGAAACGGGUUAAUAUUCCCGUACUUGGUGUUACUGCGAAGGGGGGACGGAGAAGGCUAUGUUGGCCGGGCGACGGUUGUCCCGGUUUAAGCGUGUAGGUGUGUGUUCCAGGUAAAUCCGGUUCACUUUAACACUGAGGCGUGAYGACGAGGCACUACGGUGCUGAAGCAACAAAUGCCCUGCUUCCAGGAAAAGCCUCUAAGCAUCAGGUAACAUCAAAUCGUACCCCAAACCGACACAGGUGGUCAGGUAGAGAAUACCAAGGCGCUUGAGAGAACUCGGGUGAAGGAACUAGGCAAAAUGGUGCCGUAACUUCGGGAGAAGGCACGCUGACACGUAGGUGAAGUGAUUUACUCAYGGAGCUGAAGUCAGUCGAAGAUACCAGCUGGCUGCAACUGUUUAUUAAAAACACAGCACUGUGCAAACACGAAAGUGGACGUAUACGGUGUGACGCCUGCCCGGUGCCGGAAGGUUAAUUGAUGGGGUCAGCGCAAGCGAAGCUCCUGAUCGAAGCCCCGGUAAACGGCGGCCGUAACUAUAACGGUCCUAAGGUAGCGAAAUUCCUUGUCGGGUAAGUUCCGACCUGCACGAAUGGCGUAAUGAUGGCCAGGCUGUCUCCACCCGAGACUCAGUGAAAUUGAACUCGCUGUGAAGAUGCAGUGUACCCGCGGCAAGACGGAAAGACCCCGUGAACCUUUACUAUAGCUUGACACUGAACAUUGAGCCUUGAUGUGUAGGAUAGGUGGGAGGCUUUGAAGUGUGGACGCCAGUCUGCAUGGAGCCGACCUUGAAAUACCACCCUUUAAUGUUUGAUGUUCUAACGUGGACCCGURAUCCGGGUUGCGGACAGUGUCUGGUGGGUAGUUUGACUGGGGCGGUCUCCUCCUAAAGAGUAACGGAGGAGCACGAAGGUUGGCUAAUCCUGGUCGGACAUCAGGAGGUUAGUGCAAUGGCAUAAGCCAGCUUGACUGCGAGCGUGACGGCGCGAGCAGGUGCGAAAGCAGGUCAUAGUGAUCCGGUGGUUCUGAAUGGAAGGGCCAUCGCUCAACGGAUAAAAGGUACUCCGGGGAUAACAGGCUGAUACCGCCCAAGAGUUCAUAUCGACGGCGGUGUUUGGCACCUCGAUGUCGGCUCAUCACAUCCUGGGGCUGAAGUAGGUCCCAAGGGUAUGGCUGUUCGCCAUUUAAAGUGGUACGCGAGCUGGGUUUAGAACGUCGUGAGACAGUUCGGUCCCUAUCUGCCGUGGGCGCUGGAGAACUGAGGGGGGCUGCUCCUAGUACGAGAGGACCGGAGUGGACGCAUCACUGGUGUUCGGGUUGUCAUGCCAAUGGCACUGCCCGGUAGCUAAAUGCGGAAGAGAUAAGUGCUGAAAGCAUCUAAGCACGAAACUUGCCCCGAGAUGAGUUCUCCCUGAG